CAAUAAACCUGUUCCCAUAUGAUCACCAAAAUUAAGCAAUGUUGAGUCUGGUCAGUACCUAGAUGGGGGAUCACUUGGGAAUAUCAGGAACUGUAAU